GAAAGGCAGAGGAAAGUUUUUUCUUCAAAAAGGAAGAAGGUCAGCUAUUUUGGGAAACCAAAAGCUCUCAGCAAUUAGGAGAAUUCUUUUCUCUGCUCAGUGAUUAGAGAAGUCUGCAGGCAAGCAGCAGUUGCUGCAAACAGUAGUCUUGAAGAUGAACGAGAGGAUUCAUCAUUUCAGUUUGAGGAAACCGGAACUGACAAAUAAACAAAUCCCUGAAAUUUAAGGAA
rnacentral:lncRNA from 1 species